rnacentral:rRNA from 1 species
UACGUAGGGUGCGAGCGUUAAUCGGAAUUACUGGGCGUAAAGCGUGCGCAGGCGGCUUUGUAAGACAGGUGUGAAAUCCCCGGGCUUAACCUGGGAACUGCGCUUGUGACUGCAAGGCUCGAGUGUGGCAGAGGGGGGUGGAAUUCCACGUGUAGCAGUGAAAUGCGUAGAGAUGUGGAGGAACACCGAUGGCGAAGGCAGCCCCCUGGGUCAACACUGACGCUCAUGCACGAAAGCGUGGGUAGCAAACAGG